GAUGAACGCUGACAGAAUGCUUAACACAUGCAAGUCGAUGGGGAAGUGGUGCUUGCACCAUGGUAACCAUGGCGGACGGGUGAGUAACACGUAAGGAACUUACCUGCGGGACCGGGAUAACAGCAGGAAACUGCUGACAAGACCGGAUAAGGUCAUUAAGCUGCAUAGCUUAGUGAUGAAAGGAGACGCCUGCGGAGAGCCUUGCGUCCUAUUAGCUAGUUGGGGGGGUAACGGCCCACCAAGGCGAAGAUAGGUAGCCGGCCUGAGAGGGUGGACGGCCACAAGGGGACUGAGAUACGGCCCUUACUCCUACGGGAGGCAGGAGGGGGGAAUAUUGGACAAUGGGGGCAACCCUGAUCCAGCAAUUCUGUGUGCACGAAGACGGUUUUCGGAGUGUAAAGUGCUUUCAGCAGGGAAGAAGGAAGUGACGGUACCUGCAGAAGAAGCGACGGCUAAAUACGUG
rnacentral:rRNA from 1 species